rnacentral:lncRNA from 1 species
CACUUCAAACACUCGAGGGAUCUAUCAUUAUUAGUCUCAUUGUUUGAUCCGGUCUGAAUCAACGGUCCAACCGGAUAAACCGGAGGAGGCUUAAAACUCGAUUCUCCUUCCAUUAAAGCCUUGAAAGGCCCCGUUUCCAAUUCCAUAAAACUAUUAACCAUAAUCCCAGCUGCUAACAGAUACUGUUUGCUAAAGCUUAAAAGAAAUCGAUAUGUCUCAUUCUUUCUCUGUUGGAACCCAUCUGCAAAAUCACGCCCGUGAACCGGGACACAUCCGGGCAACUGGACCGGUUCAGGCAUGUCCCUAUACUCACAGCUAAACUUAACAUCAAGCUCAGGUAAAUGGAAGAGAAAAGACAGUGCCAUGGCCGUUGUAGUAAAGAAAACAUAAGCAGGAACACCGACUUCAUUUGCCACAUCGAACGCAGCCGACCCAAAAGGAUCAACAACUAGAGCAACUAGCCGAGUUGACUCGGCUAACACCUUGAGAGCAUCCCUUAGUGAAGAAAGGGAGCGAACGAGGGUGAGGGUGAUCCGAGUUUCUAUCUGAAAGUCGUCAGGCAAGUCAUCAAAACUCACAGGAGGAAGAAAGAUGGUGGAAAUGGAAGUGGGUAGGGAUUCGAGGACCUGUCUUAUUGUUUGAAUGGAUGAGCCUGUGCCAUCAUCGAUGGUGGGGAUGAAUAUGGUAACUAGAAAGUUGUAUUGAUGUACUAGUCGCUUGGCUAACUCAACUAGGGGAAUUAGGUGACCUAUGCCUGGCGUUGGCACCAUGGCUACAUAGGCACGAGGUAUUUGUUUUGAUUUUUGGGUCUCCAUUUUUAUCGGGUUUCUUUUGAAGUAGUGAUGUAAUUGAGAUAUAUUUUCUUCUGGGAAAUCAAGGUUUGUAACUAAGUAUAUGGAGGGCAAAACCUUGUCUGUGUUGGGUGCACUAUUCUGAUCAAGUGGUUUGCACAAUUAUAGAGGAACAUCUAAUUGGUCUAUGAGUCCCAUAAUAAGAACCAGAAAUUUUUUAUUUUAAUUUUUAAACGUUAUGAAUUAUUUGCAUUAUUGUGUUUCAUCGUGUGGACCCAUAAACCGACGCACGCACCACAUCAACCGCAGAAGUCCUUCUCUACAUAAAUUCGAUGUAAACUACAAAAAAAAUUGAUCUAUUGUGAUGGAAAAAAAUUAUCUUUAUAUAUAUAAAAUCUGUCACAAAAUAAAUUUAAUGACAUACUAUAUAUCGUUGUUUAUGUGUCGCAUUUGCCACCGUCACUAAUACAUUUAGUGGCAAUUAGUAAAUAAUCGCAAGUAUUAUGUGUCACUAAUACACAUCUUAUAGUGACAAAUAUAAGUUUAUGACAAGUAAGGACAAAAGCAAAAACCUGUCACUAAAAUCAUAUUUUUAGACAUAUAAAUCUGUCAUUAUUUUGAUACUAGGGGCUAUUAAUGUGUCAUUAUGUUGAUACUAGUGACUGUUAAUGUGUCGUUAUUUAUAUAGUUAGAGAUAAUUAAAUUAGUCAUUGAUGAUCAUUGUUGACAAUGAAAUGUGCCACUAUAGAUUCAAUUAGUGACAAUUUAUUUAGUCAUUACCAAAUUAAAUAUGACACUUGAAUGUAUUGCUAUUAAUAUCAUUAGUGACAAUUAAUUCAGUCAUCUCAAUAGUGAUGUAAAAUUUUGUCUCAAUGAAUAUAUUAGUGACAUCAAAUCAGUUAUUAUAUAUUUAAAUUUUGUAACAAUUUAAUCUGUCACAAAAUAUUUGUCCCUAAUGUUUGACAUAAGAGAUAAUACAAUCAAUGCAUAUGUGACAAGCGUGACUGAUUUUAAUUUAUCAUCAUAUGAAUGAAAUUUAAUAAAAUAAAUACAUAAAUAUUAUAAUAUUAUUUUCUUAUUAUAUAAUUGAUAUGAUACUUCUGAUGUAUUCUAAAAGUUUUUCAAGAGUGAUUCUUACAUAUAGUUUGCAACCUAUAUAAGUAUAGCGGAAGCAUUAAAAGUCAUAAACAUAAAAAUGUUUAUAUAAUAUACAAAUCCUCACACAACAUAAGAUUUUAAAAUGCAAAAAAAUUACAAUGAGUACAAAAUUUAGCAAGCAAACCAGUUUUUUACUAUGUCAAACUACAUACAUAUUUAUAUAUAUUGCAAAUGCAUGAUAUGCAAUUGUUUGUUGAGAAUAUCGUAAAAUAAAUCCAUCAAUAUCUCAUACUUUCACAUUUUCUUUCAAAUCACUUAUUUUAACUACAUUUAUUCAAUUAUCGCUUAGUAGGUUUCUCACUGAAUAUCUAGACUUUCAUAUAACACCAUUUUGGACUUCACGCAAGCAUCCUUCACCCACUUCUCUCUUAACAUAAUAUAUAAUGUAUCUAGUAAAAUAAGUAAUGAAUUCAAGCACCCAAGGAAAAAAAAAAGAAAUUUGUUUACUUUCAUCCUUAAGAAUUAAUUCGCUAAAAAUCCACUUUCUCAUUUUAUAAAAGACAAAAUGCACAUUCAUGCUUAUUCCAGUAGCCCUUCACAUAUACAUAUGUCCAUGUAUACAAUCACACUUAACACAUAACAAUACAUGACAUAGACACAUGGGUAAAAUCACAUAAAUUCAUAUCCAUAUACAUAACAAAAAUAGACUUUUCAAUUAUGUCAAACACAUACUUAUUUUUAUUGUAAUUCAUUUAGAAGCUUGGUUUACUUAUUUCUUCUAGAGUCCAUAAGUAACAAAAGUGUAUCAAAAUCUUUGGUCUAAAAUGAAUAUAUAAUAAAUAUUCUCUUAAGAUACACGAAUAAGAUCAUAAUUAUAAAAUCCAAUGUCCUCAAAUUCCUCAUUAUAAACACCUAAUAAACUCAGCCUAAAAAAAUCUCAAUACUUGUUCUAAGAUGGAAUAGGCCCUAUUCUCUAAUUUUUAAUAAAUUAUUCCUUUAUCGGAAAAAAAAAAAUCUUCAAUCUUUUAGAGAACAUGCUGACAUAUUGAAAAUUUAGAAUAAAAGUUCCAUACCUUAAUUCCUUCAAAAACUACUAAAAAAUAUUUUUGUUUCAGACUUCAUUAAAACUCUCAAACUAUUUAUUGUUUUGAACAUACUCACUUUAAAAAUACAAAACAAUUUAUCCUUUUAUCAUAAUAAUCAUGAAAAGUUUCAUAACCAUACUAGACAAAUAUACAAAUCACUAUUCCAAAUUUCAUAAUUUUUAAAAAAAUCUAGGUAUUGAUAAAAUGAUUUUGCAAUUCAUGAUCUUCACCAGAAAUAGAAAUUUCUAAAGUUUUAAGACUUGCAUUUUAAAAAUCAUAAUAAAUUGAAUUUUUAUAUGAUUAGUUUUUUUUCAAAACAUUCUUGAAAAUGUCUAGUUUAACAUACAAAACACAAAAUAAAUACUAAUUUGUACUAAUUAUUAUGAUUUUGGAAGCAACCCAUUAUUAGCAUAUUUUCACGCAAAAUCUAAGAUACUGCUCCUACUACUAUUAUCUUAUCAUGAUUUUCUAUUCAUUCAUAAACACAAAAAAUAGACUCAUUUCUUUGAUCUCUUUUCUCUUUCCAUUGAUUUACUCAUGGUCAAACUAAGAAGAAUAGUUUUUUUUUUCUUCUCUUCUUCUUUUCUUUUCUUUUAUUUUUCUUCUUCAUCUCUUUACUGCUCUCUCUUUCUCUCUCUCGUAAAAUAGAGAUAUCAUCUUUUUCCCUUUAUACUUAAGACAAGGGAAAGAAAAUAAAUACUUUAAUAAAAUAACUAAGAUACCCUUGAUCAAUUUGCUAAAAUACCCUAGAAAAAUAAGGGGUAUUACAAUCAGAGUGAAAAAAAUUGUUAUUGAUCUUGGACAUAAAAGCAAAAGGUGGAUUAUGAAAAUGAAAGCAAUAGCAUAGUUUAUCGAAUAUUAAUUGGUAUCAGUAUGAUGUACUAUUACUUGCAUGCAUUUGUUUAUUAUCAGCGUAUUCAUAAAGAAAUCUGUCAUUUUUUAUAGUCUAUAGUUGUUGUGUUGUGUAUCCGGUGCAAUACAUGCUGAUCACAAAUUAAGAUUCUCUCAUAAUUUUAUCUUUUAGUAGAGUAAAUAGAAACAUGUGAUUGAAAAACAUAAAUAUACUCGGUUAUAAGAUAAUUUUAUUCACUGACCUUUGGAUACUAUCUAAUGGAUAAAGUACUUUAUUUUUUUUUAUUUUCCCUUUCAUGCAUACUUUAAGCUAUUUUACCUUCUUUUAUUUUUGAACUAGUUCAUUAUAUCAAUAUUAGAAGUAUGUGUUACGUACAUGAAAGUUGUUUAUGCCGAAAAAUGAUACAAAAAAUGUUUUCUUGAUCAAUUUGGGUAUCAUAGAUAGUGGUAUCACCUCAUCCUUCGUGUAAACUUGAGUACGGAUGUCCUCUUAUUUUUGUGGAUCACCCACUUAAUUAAGUGACCCCUUUUAGACUUACCUGUUCAACAAUGGAUCUUUUAAGUGCAAUUUCUUACUUGCUUAUGGUUGAUAUGGUCGAGAUCCAUCAGCUGCAAAUGAACUAAUCAAGUUAUCCCUAAUUUUAAUAGACAUAAUACAUAAUAAUUUGUUGAUUUAUUGUCCAACUAAAAAGCUAAUUUAUCAUAACAAAAGUAUAAUCAAAACUCAAUUAUGAAUUGAGAUCUCUCAAUUUUGCAUCAUUUACUAACUUAGCUUUAUGUGUCAUUUGUAGGCUUGGAAAGGAAAAAAAAAAAAAAAAGGCCCGAGUUGUUCCAGCUNNNNNNNNNNNNNNNGGUACAGCAGGGGUCUGAACAAGGGAUUAAGCAAAAAAGCUCGGGCCAGACCCAACCCUCUAUUUUUUAAAUAAAAAGUAAAAUAUAUAAAAUAAUAAGAAAAAAAACUUAAAUCCUUAAUUCAUAAAUUUAUGAUAAUUCAAAAACCCUAAAAUUAAAAUGUUGGGUUCUCUCUUGAACCUUAAUUAAUUAAGAGAAUACUUAAAUUAGAGAAUCUAGUACUAAAAAAAAUUAAAAUCUAUAAAAUUUUAUUUACUUCAAUAUCUUUAUUUAUCAUUUUAUUUUGAAACUGUCACUUUCUUUAAAUUAUUACUAAUUAUAAUAACUGUUGAUUAUUAACUCAUUAUAAGUUUAUAACAAUUUAAAAAUAAUUAAAAAAAGUGAAAGCCCAAGCCCAAGCCUGUAUUUUGCCAUCCUUAGUCAUUACAUACAUGUACAAACAUAUGAAAUAUAAAAAUGAUGUCAAAACUGCUAAAGGAAAAAAAAUAAAGUACAAAAAAUUUACUUUAAUUAAUAUAAUAUAUGAUACAUAUCUUUAUUGAAUUGGUUCAUGCCCCCAAUUUUGUCCUCGAUUUUAUACAUCUAUUAUUUUCCAUCCCAAUUUUGUAAUCAUUUUUACACAUCUAUUAUUUUUCUAUCCCAAUUUUAUACUUGUUUCUACACUUUUAUUACUUUCUUAACUUUUAUGAAAUGUUGUGAAAAUCAGUUUACAAAGUGGGGCAAAAUGAGUAGAAAUUGGUUCAUUGAGUUUAUUGUUUGGAGGAAAAAGUAAGGGGGAUUGCCAAUUUCUCCCCUACGGUAAUUAACAUAUACCAUUUUUCUCCCUGCUGUUUUUUUACUGGCCAAAAACCUCUCUGAUAGCAUAAGUUUACAAUAUUACCCUAAUUUUCAACAACUCUUUUAUUUAUAUUUAUUAUCAAUUAAAUAAAUGACAUGAAUAGAAACUAAAAAAAAUAAGCAUUAAAAACAAGAAAUAUAUGUUUUGAUAUGAGAAAAAAAUUAAUAAUAAAUUUUUUUUUGUACUUAUUUUUUAAAAAUUUUCUUAUAAUAAAUAUAUAAGAAAGUUAUUAUACAAUGAUAAAAAAAUUAUUAUAAGAAAAUUUGAAUGACAAAUAAAAAUUUAUUAUAAGAUAAAUUAUAAAAUAUUUUGCCUAUACUUUUUACAUUUAAUUUUAAAUAUUACAAAAUUUUUAUUAUAAGAAAAUGUUCACAAAAUAAAUAAUUACAAGAAAAAAAUUUUAUUAUUAAUUUUUUUGCUCAUAUCAAAAUAUAAUGUUCACAAAAUAAAUAAUUACAAAAAAAAUUUAUUAUUAAUUUUUUUCUCAUAGCAAAACAUAUAUUUCUUGUUUUUAAUACUUAAUUUUUUUAUGUAGUUUCUAUUCAUGUAAUUUAUUUAAUUUAUAAUAAAUGUAAAUAAAAGAGUAAUUAAAAAUAAGGGUAAUAUUGUAAAAUUAUACUGUCAGUGGGGUUUUUUGGCUAUUAUAAAAACAGCAGGGGGGUAAAUGGUAUAUGUUGAUUACUGUAGGGGGGAAGUGGCAAUCCCUCGAAAAAGUAAAGUAGCUUGAGCUACCUUUCUAUAAAAAUUUUUAGGUUUUUUUCUUUAUUCAAAAUAAUAGAAUAGUUACAUAUUUUGCAUAGACCUUUUAGUCUUGAAAAAGUGAGAUGUUGCACAUAUGUUUUAACUAGAUUUUGGUGGAUCCAAUAAGAACAAAUACAUCUAUUUGAGGUGGGAUGAGGCUGCCUUUCUAAGCUUGUAGUGUGCUCUUGCAAGAAGGAGGAGGAUAGUUGUGUGAGUAAGAUGUUCAGCAAGGGGAAUGAAAAUAAGAUGAAAAUGGAGUAAAAAUCACCAGACCUUGAGCUAAGAAAACCUGCAAUACAGAAUAAACUGAGGUUAAAGGUGGAGCUAGCAGUGGCCUACAACCACAGUCCGACACCCAAGUAAAAUUUUGGAUGUUAAAAUAGCAACAUCAAGUCUAAGGGAUCUUAAAGCUAUAACAAUGGUAUUUUUGCUCUUAGAAGAAGAAGAAGAAGACUCUAAUUUUUUGAAUAAUGAAGAAGUUAUCAUUUUUGAAGAUACUAUUGAGCUUUUGUAGAGUGUGCUUAAGGGUCAUUUUAGUCCUUUUUAAUAGUUGACCCCCCUUAGGUGAGGUUGUUGAAGAAAUUUGCAUUGUGGUACCCUGAUGGUGACACCCGUGACUUGAGAGUCAAGAAAACCUUAGCCACUUUUUUACCUCCUCAGUAGGGCAUGUGGCAGCCUCUCUCAGUCUUGUGGUCUUACUGCUUUUUAGGGGAUAAAAAAGGAUAGCUGAGGUGGAUUUCUUUCGUUACUCGGCCGAAAAUCUUUAUUUUUAUUAUUCUUAGCUAAAAGGAAGAAUUUUUUUUUCUCUGCCAUGUCGGCAUACACUGUUUACGCUGGCCCAAACCACAAAAUUCUAAAACCUAAAAGUGUAUUUUCUUGACCUCCACUGGUGUCAUUGCAUGCUGGUAAAAGUGCUAUCUUCUUCAUUUGUUUUUUUCAACAUAAUUCAUUUUCUCUUAACUCAGGUACUUAGACCUGUACAUUAUAAAGCGUUAUUAGGGGUUGGCAAAAACUUUAUCAAAAUCGAAAAAAUUAUGUUUAGUUCAAUUUUUUUUAUUUGGUUCAAUUUUUUUAAGCGAAUGCAUAGAUAUUGAACUGAACCAUUUGGUUUGGUGAGAUUUUUGGAUCAAAAGUUGCAAAACCCAAACCGAACCAAUAAUAUCGUUUAAAUCCUUGUCUUUUAUAAAAUUUAAUAUGGUUCAAUGUUUAGCAAAUGUUGGCAUAUAGAUAAUCUAUUAUGUCCUAAUAUUUUUUGUAAACUUUUCAAAAAGGUGCUUGACCGAAAGUCAACAUGACAAAAUAUCAUUCUAGUCCCUAAUGUUUUGGUAUAGCACAUAAAGUUAUUUCAUUUGUUUACAUUUUGGUCCAAAAGUUUUGAUAUUAAAAACAACAAUAAUUAUUCUGAAAGUUCUUCAUUUUAGUCUAAAUUCUUGCAUUUUUUUGGCGAAUAAAAAUUUUUAAAUUAUUUUAUUUUUUUUAUUAUACAUUGAUUAUAGUAAACCUUGUGUGUAGGUUAACUUGAACCGAAAAAUUGAUUUGUUAAUUUGAACCAUUAAGUGAACCGUUACUGAAAAAUUAAAAUCGAACUGAAAAAUCGAUAACAAAUUGAAAUCGAGUCGAAUUGAACAAUCGGGUCUAGUUUAGUUUUUAUUUUCCUUAAAGACCGAAUGAGUUUUUAAAUUUCGAACCAAACUAAACUGAAAUUGAAAGUUUAUUCCAAAAUCGAAACAAACUGAACCGAAUCAGUGCCCAACCAUAAAUGUAAUGCCCAAAACUUUGACGAUUGUAGCACUGUAACUGGGAUUUGCUAUACCUUAAUUUUGGUUUUUGCCUCUUUCUCAUUCUCUAGUUGAGUUUUUUUCUCUUUUAUAGUUGGAAUUGUUGUUGUUGGAAUUCUAGCCUCGUCCACAACAGCGUGCUCCAUUUUUUCCUUGGCCUCUACCUUUACCUCGAGACCAUUGUCCUAUCUCAUUGCCUUAGCUUGUUAUCUUCUCAUUGCUUGGCAUCUCAAAGAGCUGCUCAUAGAUCUAUUGCUUUUUCUUAUGCUUCUCUUUGUAGGCUUACGGUGAACCUUGAAGUUGCUUGAUUAUAACGGCCUUCAAGUCUUUUAUCACUUCAGUUGUCACAACUAUGUGCUUGAAUCUUAAGCUUAAUGAGCAAAGUAUCUUUUCCAUAAUUUUUACAUCUUUGAUAUUCUCACAGUUUCUUUUUAGUAGGUUUGAAAUUGCCAGAGCUAUUGAAAAAUAAUAAAAAAUGGACUCAGCUUUGCGCAUCUGCAAUGAUUCAAAUUCACCUCUUAGAGUUUGGAGAUGCAUCUUUUCCACUCUCCUAUAUCCUUUAUAAGAGGUUUGAAGUUUUUUUCCAUGCUUUCUUGGCUGAAGUUGAACUCGAAAUCUUCUUAAAUCCAUCAUUAUCUAUUGUUUGAUAGAUAAGGAAGAGAGCUUUCUUGUCUGUAUUUUUUGAAUCCUUUAAACUAUCCUUUUAAUGUUGAGUCAAAGCAAGCCUCCUCUUCUUAAAUCCAUCAUCGCAACCUUUUUCAAUGACUUUCCAAACAUCAUGAGCUCCAAAGAGGGCCUUCAUUUUAUUACUCCAAUUAUCGAAGUUGCUUGCUUUUAGUGAUGGAAUUUAGAAUGGUGCCACACUAUUAUUUGCCAUAACUUUUUAUAGAGUUGAAAUUUAAAAAUUUUGGUUGCAUAGAUGGAUUUAAAACAUCCAAAAUUCUAGGGAAGGAUUCAAACCAAAAUUUCAAAAUUUGGUCAAUGGUCUACGGUCAACGAUUGAUGGUUAGUGGUCAACAACUGAGGUCGAAGGCCAAUUGAUUAGUUCGACUCGAUUGACUUGGCUCGAUUAUGGCUCAAUUUAUUUUAGUUUAGCUUGAUUCAAUGCGGUUCACCUGGUUCAGUUUGGUCCAACUGAGUAAGUCGACUUAGUUUCAAGGUUGAAAAUUUUGGCAGCAUGUAUGGGCACAUUCGGAUUUCGAUCAGGCUGGUUUUUCCAGUUCGAAAUCCUCUUGUCAAGAUCUUCGAUUAGAUAUGCUACAAUAUUCUAUAGGGCACUAGUUAUUAGUUUGGAUACCACUCUGUUGGAGAAUUUGAAUGAUUAAACACUCGAAAUACUCUUUUUUUUUUAUGAACUCAAUACAAUUCCUCAAUUACAACUCUUUUAGAACUAAGAAAGUUUACUACUUCAUGUUGCUUAAACCAACUAAGAAAAGAGGUAUUUAUACUUGCUACAACUUAAUAGUUUUUAUAUGUUAUAAAUAUUUAUAAGGUAAGCAUUUGAUACAUAAUUUAUGGAAAAUAAUUUGAUAAUAUCAUUUUUUGCCAUUUAACAUAAUAUUUAUGCAUAAAAAAGUUGUUAUCUAUUAAUAAAAGAGUUUGUUUAAAAUUCAAAUUGAAUGUAUGUUAAGUAAUUAGUACCAAAUAAAAUUUGAGAUCCCACAAAUUAUAAUAUAACAUCUAAUAAUUAGAUAGGAAUAAAUACAUUUAAUGGGGGUAUUUGUGAGAAAAAAUUAAUUUUCCAUUCAGAGAUAAAGAUUAGGAAAUUUUACUUUUCCAUUCCGAUAAAAAUGUCAUAUAAUAAGACUUCAUAUAUAAAAGCAAAUAAGUCAAAAUAUCAAAACAUCUUAAAUUAAGCUUAAUUAAUAUUUUAGACAUAAAACAAACAACCCGUAAGUCUUAACUUAAGAUAUGAGAUCUUAAGAUAUGAGAUUUUGGAGCUUAACAUCACUCCGACAAAUAAGAGAUUUAGACACCAUCGGCCAUAUCACUCACUCAUGACGUAAUUUGCGUUUUGAGUUUAUGUUUUUAUUUUUUUAAAAAAUAUCUGGCUUAAUGAAUAAUAACUUCCAACUUUUUAUUCGUCUUCUCCCAUUUUCAGUUAAAGUUCCCCAUCAUAAAAAUAAAAAUGUUGAAUGGGAACUUGUGAGAAAGUCUUAUUUUAUUUUAAUUAAACUCUUAUUUAGUAUUGAGAUAUUGUAAUUUUUAAGCUAUAAUUAUUGUAAAUAAAUUUUAAUUAUAAAUAUAAAUUAAUAAUAUUUAAUAAAUAUAAAUUUUAAAUAAUAAUUUUAAUAAAAAUUAUAAAAAUAUUAUAAGUUUGAAACAAAUCAAAUUUAUUUAUAAAUCAAGUAAUUAAUAUUUAUCAAAUUAAUUAAUAAAUUACAUUAAUUUUUAUCAAAUAUUUUGAUAUUUUACCAACCCAAUCUCAAUAGCAAUGUCACACCGUUACCGUAUAAAUCGCUUUACGAGUUACUGAACCACAACCACAAGCACAAGAUUCACCGAUGACCGAUCAUCCUCAUCUUUUGGGAUGAAGAUAUUUGAGCAAGCCAACUACAAAAGAGAUGCACGUUAUCCACGAUUCUAAAAACUAUUGAUUGUCAUUGGGUCUUUCGUGGUGGGGCACAAGCACAUGAUUCACAAUCAUCCUCUGUUUUAGGGUUUUUAGAUUUUUUUUUUCCCCAUAUUGGCGGGCACAACCGAUGUUUUCUUUUUAUCAUUGGAACAUAAUUUUCACCUAUAAUAGAUGAGUUGGAUAGAUUAAGAUAAACUAAUAAAAUUCUUUUUAGUAUCUUAUUAGAUUUUAGUAUUACAUUAUUUUUCUUUCAGACAUAAAGAAUUGUAAGUGACCGAAUUUGUGUUUAUAUUGUGAGGCAUUAUCCUAACUCAUGUUCUGUAUUGUCCUAAGUAUUAUAUUAAGCCUAAUACGACCUUGUAUUUGCGUUGGAUGUGACUUUGACUAAGAUUAUACUUAAAUUUUCCUAAAAACAGUUGCUAUAUAGUCAGGGCUUAUUAAGAUGUAUUUAGCAUAAAAUGUGGAAAACAGACAAAUAUUAUUAACCACUAAUCACAUGUUGCUCAAUACACAGGAGCAGGUCAGAUCAUAAGAUCAAUUUUAUCCGAAAUACUAUGCCCUCUAAUCUUAAAUAUCAGCAGAAAAUGUGCAAGGGAAGUCAUGGAUUCGUGGCACAUAAAAGCUCAGGUAUAAAUGCAUUGUUAUUAUGUUAAUUGAUGAACUACUUGGCCUCAUCCCUAUACCAUCUUAUGGAGAUUUAUUCUAUAUAAUGAUCAUUAAGAUAAAUGAAAGAAAGAAGCAUAAAGUGUUUCAUUUUACUAUUAAUUUUUUGGUCAAUGUAUUUUCGUGCUUGUUAUUUAUGGUGAGCACUUAUACUUAACCCCACCAUGGCAAUAGAAAGUUAGAAACGGUGCGUCCAUGGUGCCAUAUGGAGACAUCGUUUCUGCGUGCAUGAUGGCUAUUUAUCUUUUUUUUUUCUUUUUUGGAUUACCUACUUUCCGAAAAUUUUAAUAGGUAUUUUUUUUUAUUUCAUGACUUUUGCAGUAGGUCCAAUUAAUAUACAAUUUACCUGGGUAAUUAAAUGAUUAAAUAAAAUUAUUUGAAAAACUAUAAUUCGACAUAAUAUCUAUUUAUUGUUAAAAAUUGACUUGUAAGAAGCCGAAGUCCAAAUAUUUUUAGAUUAGGCUACAUGUAAAAUUUUAAGAGAUGCUAGAUAUUAACAUCACUUUAACAAAUAAGAGAUUUAGACACUGCCGACUAGCAUAGUAAGUUUAUUGUUGGAGUUGUGAAGCUCAAAUAUGAACCUGGGGAUUUGUAUGACAUGUCGAUUGUUUGUCAUGAAGUAUAAUGAUUUGUCGUUUGAAUUAGAGUUCAGAGAAGCUGAAUGGAUUAAACGCUAUGUCGGCUGGAUGUGUUAGUAAUGCACGUGAUUCAUCAUAUGAUUCACUAAUUCAAAUGGCAGCCACAUCUGCGUUUUAGCUAGCAGAUUGCAUGAGCCUUUGACAAGUGUCCCAGAGCUAAUUCAAGAAUUGGUUAUUUCAGUUAGAUCACGCGGGAGGCUGAAGUUGGCUAGAAACCCAGGAACGUGAGCUGACUUCUGGGGGCUCUUUCAUCUGGUUCUGAGAGAAGUAUAAAAGAUCCCAGGCUCUGUUACUAAAGGCAUUCUAUUGAGUUGUAUUCACUCUUCAUAUGUGUAACUUGUUCUCUGGAAAUCAGUAAAAGCUUAUUUCUCUUUUCACAGUGGAUGUAGGCAAUAAAUUGGCCGAACCACUAUAAUCCUUGGUGCAAGUAUGUGAUCUGUCUUUUAUUGUUUGUGUGGUUGGGUUUCAAGUGCUUAUACGUAAUUCUUGUACAAAGCUUGGUUUAGUGUUAACUCCAGAUCAGGGUCAAGUUUCAUAGAGUGGGUCUUGGGGAUUCCAAGUUGAUCUUGGAGAUUGAUUUGGAUUCAACAAAUUGGUAUCAGAGCCUAUCUCUGGUUUCUUGGUCUUUGCAAUGGCGUCAACUAAACUGGAAGUGGAGAAGUUUACUGGCGAAAAUGAUUUCCACCUAUGGAGGCUCAAGAUGAGAGCUUUAUUGGUGCAUCAAAGGUUGGAUGUUGCACUCGAUGAUGAAUCAACAUCCAAGAAGCCAAUGAAAGUAACUGAAGAAGAAUUAUCUGAGGUUCUUGAUAGGGCACACAGUGCAAUAAUUCUAAGUCUUGGGGAUGGUGUACUUAGAGAGGUGGGUGGAGAAAGAACAGCAGCAGGUUUAUGGAAGAAGCUUGAAGACUUAUACACAAAGAAGUCAAUGGCUAAAAGACUAGCCACCAAGAAGAAGCUUUAUACCCUGCAGAUGGAAGAGGGAUCAUCAAUUACUUAUCACAUUGAUGCUUUUAACAAGAUCAUCUUGGAUCUUGAAGACAUUAAUGUGAAGAUUGAUGAUGAAGACAAAGCCAUGAUUCUGCUCUGCUCUCUGCCGAGUUCCUAUGAGAAUCUAGUAGAUACUUUGAUGUAUGGAAGACAGACUCUCGCUAUAGGAGAUGUAAAAGAAGCUCUGAGUUCCAAGGCUGCAAUCAAGAAAGAAACCAGGGAUGGAGAAGGGUUGACAGCAAGAGGAAGAGCUGAAAGUAGAGAGACAAGUAAGAACAAGAAGAAGAGAUCAAAAUCCAGGCCAAAGAACUUGAAAUGUUUUCACUGUCAUAAGGAGGGUCAUUUCAAGAAAGAUUGCCCUGAAUUCAAGAACAAGAAGAAUAAAGCAAAGGAGAAGAGUGGAGAUGCUGCUGUUGCAUCAGAAUUUGAAGAAUCUGAUGGCUAUGACUCUGCUGGAGUUCUAAUAGCAACUAAUGCUCAAACAAAAGGUAAUUGGGUUUUAGAUUCUGGUUGUUCCUUCCACAUGUGCCCUAAUAAAACUUUAUUCACAAACUAUGAGACCUGUGAUGGUGGGGUAGUGGUAAUGGGUAAUGAUUCAAGCUGUAGAGUGGUUGGCAGAGGUUCAAUUAGGUUGGAAAUGUUUGAUGGCAUGAUUAGGGAACUGAGGGAUGUCAGGCAUGUGCCUGAUCUCAAAAGAAACCUUAUCUCCCUAGGAAUGCUGGAUAAAAUAGGAUGCCUUGUUAAGCUUGAGCCAGGCACUUUAAAAGUCUUGAAAGGGUCAAUGGUUGUGAUGAAAAGGAACAUGAGCAAUGGUUUGUAUGUGUUACAGGAAUCAGCUAUUACAGGGGAUGUUGCUGUGUCAAACCAGAAAACAAACAAAACCAUGUUGUGGCAUAUGAGGUUAGGCCACAUGAGUGAAAGGGGCUUGGUAGAACUAUCAAAACAGGGAGUCUUAGGAGUAGAUAAGAUAGAGCCUUUGAGAUUCUGUGAAGAUUGUGUCCUAGGAAAAUCUUCAAGGGUGAAAUUCAGUACUGGUAUCCAUAACUCAAAGGGGACUCUAGACUACAUUCAUGCUGAUCUGUGGGGGCCUACACAGACAGCUUCUCUAGGUGGGGCUAGGUAUUUCUUAUCUCUUAUUGAUGAUUUCUCAAGAAUGGUUUGGGUAUUUAGUUGAAGAGCAAAGACAAAGUGUUUGAUCAGUUUAAGAACUGGAAAACUUUAGUUGAAAAUCAGACCAAUAGAAAGGUGAGAAGACUGAGAACAGAUAAUGGGUUAGAGUUCUGCAAUAAGGACUUUGAUGAUUUCUGUACAAAGCAUGGUAUAGUUAGACAUAAAACAGUAAGACACACUCUACAGCAAAAUGGAUUAUCUGAAAAGAUUAACAGGACCCUAAUAGAUAAAGUUAGGUGUAUGCUGAUCCACGCUAAGUUACCCAUGAGUCUAUAGGCUGAAGCUCUUGAUACUGCUUGCUUCAUAGUAAACAUGAGUCCCUCUUCUGGAAUCAAUUUCAGAACCCCAUAUGAGCUCUGGUCUGGUAAACCAGCAGACUAUUCUCAAUUAAGAAUAUUUGGCUGCCCAGCCUAUGCUCAUGUCAAACAAGGGAAGUUAGAGCCCAGGGCCUUCAAAUGUGUGUUCUUAGGAUAUUCUGCUGGUGUGAAGGGUUACAAGCUGUGGUGUACAGACAUGAAGCCACCAAGGGCAAUAAUCAGCAGGGAUGUGGUGUUUAAUGAACAUGAAAUGCUUCAAAACUCAGCUACUGAAAAUCAACCCAUUGAGAGAAAAUCAGGUGGUGACAAGAAGAGUUUUCUUGAGGUGGAGUUUCCAAGCUCUAGCACAGAAGCUGAUAAAAAGACAAGGCCUGAGAAUGCACGUGGAAUAGAUUUGCCUGAACGAGAAGAUGAAUCAGAAGGUGAAGAUGACCUCAGAGAUUAUCAGCUGGUAAGAGAUAGAAAGAAAAGAGAAAUAAAGCCACCUAAGAGGUAUGCAUAUGCAGACUUGAUUGCAUUUGCACUAUCAGCAACACAGGGAAUAGAAGAAGAUGAACUAAAGUCUUACACUGAAGCUGUCAGUAGUAAGGACUCAAAGAAGUGGAUUGCAGCUAUGAAUGAAGAAAUGAGAUCACUGAUCAAGAAUCACACCUGGGAUCUGAUUCCAAAACUAGCAAAAAAGAAAGUUGUUGGCUGCAAGUGGAUUUAUAAGAUCAAAGAGGGUAUACCAGGAGUUGAACCGCUUAGAUACAAAGUCAGGCUGGUUGCCAAAGGCUUCACACAAAAAGAGGGAAUUGAUUUCAAUGAGGUUUUUUCCCCAGUGGUAAGACACUCUUCCUUGAGGAUCUUGUUAGCACUGGUUGCAGUAAAUGACAUGCACCUGGAACAGAUGGAUGUCAAGACUGCAUUCCUUCAUAGUGAAUUUGAAGAAAUGAUUGUAAUGGCACAACCAAGAGGUUAUGAAGAUCCAGCUAAAGCUGACUAUGUGUGUCAUUUGAGAAAGUCUCUAUAUGGAUUAAAGCAAUCCCCGAGACAAUGGUAUUUGAGAUUUGAUAAAUUCAUGGCUGAGAAUAGCUUUCAAAGAUGCUCUUAUGAUUGCUGUGUAUACCACAAAGAUUUGAAGGAUGGGGGUAAGAUCUAUAUGUUGAUGACAUGCUUAUAGCAUGUAACCACAUGGAUCAGAUAGAUAAACUGAAAAAGUAGUUAAGGAAUACCUUUGAGAUAAAGGACCUUGGAGCAGCCAAGAAGAUUCUUGGAGUAGAGCUGCUGAGAGAUAGUAAAAAGGGGAUACUAAAACUGUCACAGCACUGCUAUAUAAAGAAAGUACUUGAGAGAUUUAAAAUGGUGGAUUCAAAACCAGUUCAAACUCCUCUAGCUGCUCAUUUCAGGUUGUCUUGUAAUCAGUGUCCAAGAACUGAAGAUGAAAAAGCUAAGAUGAGCACAACUCCAUAUUCAAGUGCUGUGGGAUACUUGAUGUAUGCCAUGGUCUUAACAAGGCCAGAUAUCUCCCAUGCAGUAAGUGUAGUUUCCAGGUAUAUGGCUAAUCCUGGAAAGGAGCACUGGAGAGCUGUAAAAUAAAUCUUGAGAUAUCUCAGUGGGACUGCUGAUUAUGGCCUCAUCUAUGGUACAAAAAGAGGUACAGAAGUUGAUGUUGAAGGGUAUGUGGAUGCUGACUAUGCAGACGAUCUAGAUAAAAGGAGGUCUCUGACAUGCUAUUUGUUCACACUCAGUGGCUGCACCAUAAACUGGAAAGCUUCACUACAAAGUGUUGUUGCUCUGUCAACAACAGAAGCCGAGUACACUGUGUUGAGUGUUAGAAAAUGUAUAUUUAUAAAGGAGAAAAUCGUCAUUUUACACUACAAGUUUUAUUAACACAUUUAAUUUUAUGAAUUUAACCUUCUUUUGAUUUAAUUCCGUGUGUUUUAUUUUAAUUAAGUAUUUUAUGUAUUUUAGGGGCAUUAUAGUCAUUUCACAAUAAAGGAGAGAUCAGACGGCAAAACGGACAUCACUUUUGAACUCAGGACGGUCGAAAACCUUAGGAGGAGCAUAAAAGGAAAAAUGGCACUAUUCACAUGUACGGUACUAUUCACGUAUACGAUACUGUCUACGUUACUGUUCACGACACUGUUCACAUAGACGGACCGAUGACGUGGCAUUGACCGAUGAUGUGGCAUUAACUGAUGAGGUGUCACGAUCCUGUUGGNNNNNNNNNNNNNNNNNNNNNNNNNNNNNNNNNNNNNNNNNNNNNNNNNNNNNNNNNNNNNNNNNNNNNNNNNNNNNNNNNNNNNNNNNNNNNNNNNNNNNNNNNNNNNNNNNNNNNNNNNNNNNNNNNNNNNNNNNNNNNNNNNNNNNNNNNNNNNNNNUCCAUUUUCUGUAAUUCCCUUUCCAUCUUGUAUUUUCUUCGUAUUUUAAUAAAUUCUCAUUUUGCCCCUAGUUCAAUUAUGAGUGGCUAAUUUUCUUUCAAGCUUGGGUUGAAGGUGAAGUCUCAACAUGUGUCAUGGGCUUUAUUUGGUAAAUUUAUUUUCUCUUCCCCUCUAGUUUUUGUGGAUGUUUUGACUUCUCGUCGACAAAUAAUACUAAUUUUGUCUAGUACCGCCUUGGUUUCACUGGCCCUUUAGUACAAGGUUAUUAUUAUUUGGCACGAUAAGCCCUUAGCACCAUAUUGAUUAGAGCGUGGUUCAUGAGAUGUGGAUUCCCCCCUCAUGAUUUAGUUGACAUUAAUACGGAUUAUUUAGCCCAUGAUGCAUGUUGAUACGGAUCCAGAUACCCAAGUACGUUAUUUCAAUAGAAUUCUCUUCAAUUUAUUCUCACCAUUUCAAUUCCAAAUUUAGAAUUUAUUCUCGCCAUUUUAAUUUAAGUUUUAGCAUAUUCCAAAUCAUUUCCACCAUAAAUCCAACAACCCAUUUACAAAAUUAAUUCUAUACACAAUUAAAAUCCACCUCCUCGUGAGAUCGACACUCGUCACCAUUAGUCUAUACUACAAUAGAUUCGUGCGCUUGCGAGUACAUUAAAAUUUGCACAACACACUGCAGCUGCAGAAGCCUUUAAGGAGGCAAUAUGGCUCAGAGGAAUGGUUACAGAAUUGGGAUUUGAACAAAGACAGGUGGUUGUUCACUGUGACAGUCAAAGUGCUAUUUGCCUAAGCAAGAACCAGGUGCAUCACGAAAAGACAAAGCACAUUGACAUUAAACUUCACUUUUUCAGGCUGGAGGUGUCUAAAGGAGUGGUGAAGCUGAUAAAGGUUCACACUGAUAAUAACCUUGCUGAUAUGUUGACAAAGGUUGUACCAGUUGCCAAGCUGGAGUUCUGCAUGAACUCAGCUGGUAUCUGUAGGCUAUAAAACUGCAGGGAUAAAGUGGAAGGCAGAAACUGAGGAGUAACUUAUUUGAGUUCAAGGUGGAGAAUGUUGGAGUUGUGAAGCUCAAAUCUAAACCUGGGGAUUUGUAUGACAUGUCGAUUGUUUGUCAUGAAGCAUAAUGAUUUGUCGUUUGAAUUAGAGUUCAGAGAAGCUGAAUGGAUUAAACGCUAUGUCGGCUGGAUGUGUUAGUAAUGCACGUGAUUCAUCACAUGAUUCACUAAUUCAAACGGCAGCCACAUCUGCGUUUUAGCUAGUAGAUUGCAUGAGCCUUUGACAAGUGUCCCAGAGCCAAUUCAAGAAUUGGUUAUUUCGGUUAGAUCACGCGGGAGGCUGAAGUUGGCUAGAAACCCAGGAACGUGAGCUGACUUCUGGGGGCUCUUUCAUCUGGUUCUGAGAGGAGUAUAAAAGAUCCCAGGCUCUGUUACUAAAGGCAUUCUAUUGAGUUGUAUUCACUCUUCAUAUGUGUAACUUGUUCUCUGGAAAUCAGUAAAAGCUUAUUUCUCUUUUCACAGUGGAUGUAGGCAAUAAAUUGGCCGAACCACUAUAAUCCUUGGUGCAAGUAUGUGAUCUGUCUUUUAUUGUUUGUGUGGUUGGGUUUCAAGUGCUUAUACGUAAUUCUUGUACAAAGCUUGAUUUAGUGUUAACUCCAGAUCAGGGUCAAGUUUCAUAGAGUGGGUCUUGGGGAUUCCAAGUUGAUCUUGGAGAUUGAUUUGGAUUCAACAUUUAUUUAUUUACUUAUUUAAAUUUUAUUUGACUUAAAUGCAUCAUGAUUAUUGUACUUCUUAUUCAACUCGCCCACAAAGAGAAAAAAAUAAUAACAAAAAAGUGAAUGGGACUUGUUGGAAACCCUCGUCUACUUUUAAAACUCUUGUCUACUUCUAACCAUCAUUAUCAUAUGACCCAGAGCAAGCACAUCAUUAUUCUUUAAUCACCCUCUCUAUUUGGUGAUGAAGAUAACUCGUUAUUCAUAAUUUUUAAAACUUAUUGAUUAUCAUUGGUUCUAUUUUAGUAGUAGGGCAGAAGCUCAAAAAGUGAACUGGUCCUUACAACGACAACAACAAAAGAAAAGAAAAGAAAAGAAAAGAAGGGUGUCCAAAAAUUAAAAAUCUUUUUUGAAUUUUAUCAGUUUGAAUUGUAGUGGUCAAUUAAAUAAGUUGCUUGAAAGUUACUUAGUCACGCCAAAGACACAAAAGUCAAGAGAUUUUGCCAUUAUUAUUUUUAAAAGUGUCAUAAUAGUAUAGUCAUGACGCAUCUAAAUUUAUAUAGUACAAAAUGUGUGACAGGAAUAAAUAUUAUGUUCUAGUCCUAAUUAGCAAAAAAUUUGCAAAGAAAAUCAUUGUUUAUAAAUCAUAGGCAUGGGUGCAGUCUUAUUAUGGUAAUUAAUGUGCCUCAAUAACAUUUUAUUAAGAAGUAUUAUGAUGGUAAUUAAGAUAUAUGAAAGAAAGAACUUUGAAAGGGUUUAUUUUUUAAUUAAUUUUCUAGUCAUAAACGUGUUUUUACCCUUGUUAUUUACUAAUUACUUGCUUUACUAUAUUAUUAAGCGUUAAUUCUUUCUUUUUGUUUUUCUGGAGCACCCAAGAUUAGUAAGUCUGACUAAAUACAGCUGAACUAGAUAUUAUUAAGAGUUAGAUACAGUUGAUGCUGGAGACAGUGCAAUAUUUUUUGGAGAAAGAAAAAAAAAGAAAGAAUUUAAGAUUAGGUGACCAGCUAAUUACACUUGAUUAAUUACUUGAAAAUUGUUAGAUUAGGUCGUUAGGCAUAUACCACGCAAUGUUGCAAUUAUUGGAUUAGCAAAAAAAUAAAGAAGAUUACACAUGCAUUGAAGGAAACCGCAUUACUUUGUCUCAAUUUCCGGGUUCUUCCAUCUCUGAGCCACCUGGGCAAGUGAUUUGGUAGAAGAUCCAUCUGGGCUCAAAGCAUUUGCGGCUGCAUCCUUUAGUGCUCUCAUCUUCUUCCUUAGCAACUUCCCUUCUUCUCCUUGAAUCAAGCCCUUUGCAUAAUUGGCUAUAUCUUCUCUGCCCACCAGACCAUUUUCAUUGACUUUGACCCUGAAUGAGACCUUCAAAUCAUCAGUCAGAAGCACAGCGUUCAUCUUUUGUUCUGAAUAGAGUGGCCAUGCAAUUAUUGGCACACCGUGCACUAUGCUUUCCAAAAUCGAGUUCCAUCCACAGUGACUCAAGAACCCUCCGGUCGAGCCAUGCCUCAGCACCUGAACCUGAGGAGACCAAGAGGGCACCACUAGACCCACCCCUUUAGUCCUGUCCAGGAACCCUUUCGGUAAAAAAUCAAGAGGAUCUUUCAUGCUCUGGACGCUAAAAUAAGUGGCAUUUGCUGCUUCCUCGUGUGGGCUCUUAGCAACCCACAAGAAUCUUUGCCCACUCAUUUCAAGUCCUAAGGCCAAUUCAUUUAACUGCUCCUGUGAUAGCGUCCCUCCACUACCAAAACAAACAAAUAGAACUGACUCACUUGGCUGCUCAUCUAACCACUUCAAACACGCAGGGGAUCUCUUAUUAGUCUCAUUGGUUGAUCCGGUCUGAAUCAACGGUCCAACCGGAUAAACCGGAGGAGGAUUAAAACUCGAUUCUCCUUCCAUUAAAGCCUUGAAAGGCCCCGUUUCCAAUUCCAUAAAACUAUUAACCAUAAUCCCAGCUGCUAAAUGAUACUGUUUCCUAAAGCUUAAAAGAAAUCGAUAUGCCUUAUUCUUUCUCU